rnacentral:rRNA from 1 species
GACGAAACGCUGGCGGCGUGCUUAACACAUGCAAGUCGAACGGAAAGGCCCUGCUUUUGUGGGGUGCUCGAGUGGCGAACGGGUGAGUAACACGUGAGUAACCUGCCCUUGACUUUGGGAUAACUUCAGGAAACUGGGGCUAAUACCGGAUAGGAGCUCCUGCUGCAUGGUGGGGGUUGGAAAGUUUCGGCGGUUGGGGAUGGACUCGCGGCUUAUCAGCUUGUUGGUGGGGUAGUGGCUUACCAAGGCUUUGACGGGUAGCCGGCCUGAGAGGGUGACCGGCCACAUUGGGACUGAGAUACGGCCCAGACUCCUACGGGAGGCAGCAGUGGGGAAUAUUGCACAAUGGGCGGAAGCCUGAUGCAGCAACGCCGCGUGCGGGAUGACGGCCUUCGGGUUGUAAACCGCUUUCGCCUGUGACGAAGCGUGAGUGACGGUAAUGGGUAAAGAAGCACCGGCUAACUACGUG